rnacentral:rRNA from 1 species
UACGUAGGGUGCAAGCGUUGUCCGGAAUUAUUGGGCGUAAAGAGCUCGUAGGCGGUUUGUCGCGUCUGCUGUGAAAACCCGAGGCUCAACCUCGGGCCUGCAGUGGGUACGGGCAGACUAGAGUGCGGUAGGGGAGAUUGGAAUUCCUGGUGUAGCGGUGAAAUGCGCAGAUAUCAGGAGGAACACCGAUGGCGAAGGCAGGUCUCUGGGCCACUACUGACGCUGAGAAGCGAAAGCAUGGGGAGCGAACAGGA